rnacentral:rRNA from 1 species
AACAACGCUGGCGGCGUGCCUAAUACAUGCAAGUCGAACAGGGAAAGCCUUCGGGCGAGUACUAGUGGCGCACGGGUGAGUAACACGUGGGUAAUCUACCUUAAAGUGGGGAAUAACCAUCGAAGACUGGCUAAUACCGCAUAAGGCCACAGGAUCUGCGGAUCUAGGGGUUAAAGGAGGCAAUUCGCUUUAAGAUGAGCCCGCGCGGGAUUAGCUAGUUGGUGAGGUAACGGCUCACCAAGGCUCUGAUCUCUAGCUGGUCUGAGAGGAUGAUCAGCCAC